UACGUAGGGGGCAAGCGUUGUCCGGAUUCAUUGGGCGUAAAGAGCUCGUAGGCGGUUUGUUGCGUCGGCUGUGAAAACCUGAGGCUCAACCUCAGGCCUGCAGUCGAUACGAGCAGACUAGAGUGUUGCAGGGGAGACUGGAAUUCCUGGUGUAGCGGUGAAAUGCGCAGAUAUCAGGAGGAACACCGGUGGCGAAGGCGGGUCUCUGGGCAACAACUGACGCUGAGGAGCGAAAGCGUGGGGAGCGAACAGG
rnacentral:rRNA from 1 species